AACGAACGCUGGCGGCGCGCCUAACACAUGCAAGUCGAACGAGAAGCCGUAGCAAUACGGUUGUAAAGUGGCAAACGGGUGAGCAAUACAUGGGUAACCUACCCUCAGGUGGGGAAUAACCUCCCGAAAGGGAAGCUAAUGCCGACGAUACCCACCGGCCUCAUAAGAGGUUGUUGGAAAGCCGAACCGAGGGUUCGGUGCCUAAGGAUGGGCUCAUGUCCUAUCAGCUUGUUGGCGGGGUAAUGGCCCACCAAGGCUGCGACGGGUAGCUGGUCUGAGAGGACGACCAGCCACACUGGCACUGCGACACGGGCCAGACUCCUACGGGAGGCAGCAGUGAGGAAUCUUGCGCAAUGGGCGAAAGCCUGACGCAGCGACGCCGCGUGGGGA
rnacentral:rRNA from 1 species